rnacentral:rRNA from 1 species
GUGGGGAAUUUUGGACAAUGGGCGAAAGCCUGAUCCAGCCAUGCCGCGUGCAGGAUGAAGGCCUUCGGGUUGUAAACUGCUUUUGUACGGAACGAAAAGACUCUGGUUAAUACCUGGGGUCCAUGACGGUACCGUAAGAAUAAGCACCGGCUAACUACGUGCCAGCAGCCGCGGUAAUACGUAGGGUGCAAGCGUUAAUCGGAAUUCCUGGGCGUAAAGCGUGCGCAGGCGGUUAUAUAAGAGAGAUGUGAAAUCCUCGGGCUCAACCUGGGAACUGCAUUUGUGACUGUAUAGCUAGAGUACGGCAGAGGGGGAUGGAAUUCCGCGUGUAGCAGUGAAAUGCGUAGAUAUGCGGAGGAACACCGAUGGCGAAGGCAAUCCCCUGGGCCUGUACUGACGCUCAUGCACGAAAGCGUGGGGAGCAAACAGGAUUAGAAACCCUGGUAGUCC